UACGUAGGUGGCAAGCGUUGUCCGGAAUUAUUGGGCGUAAAGCGCGCGUAGGUGGUUUCUUAAGUCUGAUGUGAAAGCCCACGGCUCAACCGUGGAGGGUCAUUGGAAACUGGGGAACUUGAGUGCAGAAGAGGAAAGUGGAAUUCCACGUGUAGCGGUGAAAUGCGUAGAGAUGUGGAGGAACACCAGUGGCGAAGGCGACUUUCUGGUCUGUAACUGACACUGAGGCGCGAAAGCGUGGGGAGCGAACAGG
rnacentral:rRNA from 1 species